ensembl:lncRNA
CAGUCGUAGCAUGCGAACGCUCAGAUGAGGCAUGUGGGCUCUAGUUCCCUGACCAGGGACUCGGACCUGGGCCCCCUGCACCGGGAGUGCAGAGUCUUAGUCACUGGGCCACCAGGGAAGUCCCAAUAGCUGCCUUCUAUGGUAAAAGGGCCUUUGCAGACGGGAUUAGUUAAGAAUCUUGAGAAGGGGAGAUGGUCCUCGAUUUCCCCCGAAGGUCCAACGUCAUCACAAGGGUCAGGAGAGGAAGGAAGAGGUCAGAGUCAGAGAGAGAUCAGGAGAUGCUGAGCUGCUGGCUUGGACGUGGGAAAAGGGCCCAUGUGCCAAGGCACGUGGGCGCCUCUGGAAGCCAGCAAAGGCCAGGAGAUGGAUUCUUUCUUGGAGCCUCCAGGGGAAGCGGAGCCCUGCCCACACCUGUCCUGAGCACCGUGAGACCCACAUGAGACUCUGACUUCAGGACCUGCAAGAGAAGAGACUUGGGUUGCUUUAUUCAUUUCGAUUUAUUUGGCUGUGCCAGGUCUUCACUGCGGUGUGUAGGCUCUGGCUCCCUGACCAGGGAUCGAGCCCAGGCCCCCUGCAUUGGGAGCACAGAACCUCAACCACUAGGCCUCCUGGGAGCCCCCUGGUGGUUUUUCAGCCAUUACUCUCGUGGUCACUUGUUUCAGCGGCCACAGGAGCUCGUAUGAUGGCUGGGCUCUUGACCUCCACGGCCUUCUCUCAUCUCACUUAACGGCAGUUCAUGAAUUCUUCCCUCUUUUCUUAGAGGCUUUGUCUAUCCCCCUCCUAGUGGACCCAAAAUCAGCCCUACCAUGCCAGGAAUGGGGAGGCUUUCUCUUCCAUGGUCAGGGUCAAAGCUGCUGAAACUCCUCGUCCCGUGUGGCCUCCGGCGGGAGGGGAGAAGGACUCAGAGGCAGCCUGUCUGCGGGUCUGGAGGAUGCUCCCAGACGCCCCUGCCUUCCUGGCAGCGCCCCUCCGUGCUGUCUUCCCUCAGAUUUUCUUCACUGAGGUCGACAAAAACGACAGAUUGCAAGAGACUGCAGAAGCAGACGUGAGGAUGAGCAGCGAGGUCCUGCCAUGGAGCACAGGGAACUAUAUUCAAUACUUUGUGAUAAACCAUAUGGCAAAGAGUGAUAAAAGGAAUGUGUGUGUAUAUGUAACUCAAUCAUCUUGCUGUGCAACAGAAAUUAACACAACAAUAUAAAUCAACUAUACUUAAAGUUAAUUUUUCAAAACUAGGAAUCAUCCGAAAACACAAAGAGGACAAAGCAGACACGAGAAUCCAGCUACCUUCUAUUAAACCAGACAUUAAGAAGAUUUGAAAAAAUGUUUUUCAAAAUUUGGGGCAACUAAACACCCGGAACAAGAAGUGGGGAGCCGCAGUUGCAUGGGAUGACCAAAGUUUCAGUUUCAAAAGAUGGGAAAGUUCUGGAUGCUGGUGGUGGAAGCAAACGAAGCGACUGUCCUUAAUGCCAGUGAACCAGAUGCUUCAAAAUGCGUCUAUCACUCCUACUGGGUCCUAACAAGAAGGCAGAGCAUAUUUUUAGACCGAAGCAGCAGGCAGCAGAGGAUCAGUCCCCGGAAGAGGAAGCAGAAGCCUGGGGCAUGUCCCCUCCCUGCUGCGGCCUUGGGACGGGACUCGGCACAGUCUGCCUGCUGGGCAUUUGCAGGAGCAGGGCUGCGGGACUUUCAGCCGACCAGCCUUAGCCUGGAAGGUUCCAGCCCAAAGAAGCAGCCGAUUUCCCCCAGGGCGCAGACCAGGGAGGCUGGUCCCCAACGCCUUUCCAAAGCAGAGCACGAGAUGCUGAUCUCAAUUCACGCAAGAGAUCAGCUGGAAGAGUCACGUGUCUGCUUUUCCCCUAACGAGGCAGGAAAAAAACGCUUCCCUCGUGGGCCCUGGCAGCUGGCUCCUGGGGUACGUCACAGUCACACCCCCUAAGCAAGACGCAGAGUCUCAAGCUGGCAGGGGGCGUCUGAGAUCAGCCAGCCCGGCCUCUCAGUUUACGGUUGGGAACAGACGCAGGUCCGGAACAGACGCAGGGCGGUUGGUCGGGCUGCCCAAGGUCACAGAGCCCGGGAGGGGAGGGGUAGGCACAGUGGAAACAGUGAGCGCACGUGAGCCCGACCGCGCCCAGGCCUGUGGUUCCCAGGUACGAGGCUCAGAGAGGUAGGUGGGUGACCUCGCCAACGCCCUCUCCAGGCAGCCGAGCCAGGAGGGAACUCCGGGCACCUGAAGUUACCUACCAGCUUUCCUUUGGACCAACAGCACCCUUCAGGGACAUGCUCAAGAUCCCCGAAUAGUCACCGCCUCCCCUGUGCCAGAAUGAGAUGAACCCAGCUGUUCUUCGGGACCUUUGUGAGUUCCAGCCUUCGGGUUGACAAGACUUGGUCACCUGGACCCCUGAGGUUUCGCCAUCACUACUAGGAGAGCAGCCAUGCGCACGCUCAGGGUUGGUCCCCGCUGAGGUCCAGUCUGGACCACAGGGCAGCUCCGAACCAGCCAACGGUGAACUUGCAGUUUCUCAGCCCAUGUCCCUUGCCCCUGCUGACUUCCACUAUCUCACCAGAGGUCACGCGUCCAGGAGAUCAGAGGCCACCGUCCUGGUUGAUGACACCCCAGAAGCACAAACUCCGUCUCACUGGGAGGCUUUGCACAUCAUCAAAGGGCAAGCAAGUGACCCGCAGAGGCUUGGACGGUUCCCGGAAAAGGGCUUAGCUCAACUGCACGGCAAAGAGAUAGACUUCUGUCUGGGGCCUGGACACAACCCACAGCAGAUGCCUCAGCCCUGCAGGGGUCAGGGCCAGUUUCUGAACACAGGUGGUGACCUCACCUGCUUACACAUCCAGGGUCGAACCUGCCACCUGGUAUCUGGUGAUGGGAGCCUUGGCCAGCAACUC